rnacentral:rRNA from 1 species
GAGUUUGAUCAUGGCUCAGAUUGAACGCUGGCGGCAUGCCUUACACAUGCAAGUCGAACGGCAGCACGGGAGCUUGCUCCUGGUGGCGAGUGGCGAACGGGUGAGUAAUGCAUCGGAACGUAUCCUGGAGUGGGGGAUAACGUAGCGAAAGUUACGCUAAUACCGCAUAUUCUGUGAGCAGGAAAGCGGGGGACCUUCGGGCCUCGCGCUCUUGGAGCGGCCGAUGUCGGAUUAGCUAGUUGGUGAGGUAAAGGCUCACCAAGGCGACGAUCCGUAGCAGGUCUGAGAGGAUGAUCUGCCACACUGGAACUGAGACACGGUCCAGACUCCUACGGGAGGCAGCAGUGGGGAAUUUUGGACAAUGGGGCAACCCUGAUCCAGCCAUGCCGCGUGAGUGAAGAAGGCCUCGG